UGGGGAAUAUUGCACAAUGGAGGGAACUCUGAUGCAGCGACGCCGCGUGAACGAAGAAGGCUUUCGAGUCGUAAAGUUCUUUUAUAUGGGAAGAUAAUGACGGUACCAUAAGAAAAAGCCCCGGCUAACUACGUGCCAGCAGCCGCGGUAAUACGUAGGGGGCUAGCGUUGUUCGGAAUCACUGGGCGUAAAGGGUUCGCAGGCGGAAAUGCAAGUCAGGUGUAAAAGGCAGUAGCUUAACUACUGUAAGCAUUUGAAACUGCAUAUCUUGAGAAGAGUAGAGGUAAGUGGAAUUUUUAGUGUAGCGGUGAAAUGCGUAGAUAUUAAAAAGAAUACCGGUGGCGAAGGCGGCUUACUGGGCUCAUUCUGACGCUGAGGAACGAAAGCGUGGGUAGCAAACAGG
rnacentral:rRNA from 1 species